GCCCCUGUAGUUCAAUGGAUAGAACGCAGGUUUCCUAAACCUGUUAUCCGGGUUCGAGUCCUGGCAGGGGUA
rnacentral:tRNA from 1 species